UAGUACACUUAAAUUUAAUUUAUAAACACUAGGAUAUUAAAAGUUAUGUUCUUAAAAUUUAAAAAAUUUGGCGGUGUUUUAGUCUGGUUAGAGGAACCUGUAUUAUAAGCGAUACUACACGUAUUAUUUUACUUGUUUUUGUAAGUCAGUUUGUAUACCGUCAUUAUAAGAUAAUUUGGGAGAGAAUAUUAUUGGAAUCAUAUUAUUGAGUAUAUUAGAUCAAGGUGCAGCUUAUAAACAAGUAGGUAUGGGUUACAAUAAAGUUAAUUUAUAUGAAUUAAGUGUUUAAAUAUAUUUAUGAAGGAGGAUUUAAUUGUAAGAAAGGGAGUAGGGAGAUUUUUUGAUA
rnacentral:rRNA from 1 species